GUUGGGAUCUCGGAGUUCAAUCAAUAAUAAACAUCAUUUAAUCAAAGAUUCCAAGGCAAAAAUGCAAGAAACAUAAACCGAAAAUACAACCCAUUAAUGGCCGAAAAUCUGGACAGCAACUUCUCUUGUUUAUGGCUGAUUUUCAGGCUUAGGAACAGCUCCCAUGUCAUGCAAAUCACCUUCCAAAGAGAGAGCUAGAAAACCGGCAAAGAACCUCCUUUGAAACCGUCACCACCGCACCCCUUUCUUCUACCAAGCUUUGAGAAACAUCACCUAUACUUAGCCAUUAUUUCAAGCCUAAGUUAUCACAAGGGACACUCAAGAAGAAGCUCACAAGAAGGCACUCUCAAGAACACUCACAGUAAGGUGCAAAUGGAGACAGAAGUCUUGAGGAGAAGAGAGAGGGCCGAUUUUAAGAGAGAAAGACUUGUUUUGCCAAAAACGUGAGAAAGCCCUAUUUGGUGGAAAAUAGUCAAAGCUCCUCACACAAGCUAAAGCAACAAAAAUUAUCUCAC
rnacentral:lncRNA from 1 species